rnacentral:rRNA from 1 species
UACGUAGGGCGCAAGCGUUGUCCGGAAUUAUUGGGCGUAAAGAGCUCGUAGGCGGCCUGUUGCGUCCGCUGUGAAAUCCCCGGGGCUCAACCCCGGGCCUGCAGUGGAUACGGGCUGGCUAGAGGCAGGCAGGGGGAGAACGGAAUUCCUGGUGUAGCGGUGAAAAUGCGCAGAUAUCAGGAGGAACACCGGUGGCGAAGGCGGCUCUCUGGGACCGAUACUGACGCUGAGGCGCGAAAAAGCUGGGGGAGCAAAACAGG